AUUGAACGCUGGCGGCAUGCCUUACACAUGCAAGUCGAACGGCAGCGGGGGAGAAGCUUGCUUUUCCUGCCGGCGAGUGGCGAACGGGUGAGUAAUACAUCGGAACGUGCCCUGUAGUGGGGGAUAACUAGUCGAAAGAUUAGCUAAUACCGCAUACGACCUGAGGGUGAAAGGGGGGGACCGCAAGGCCUCAUGCUAUAGGAGCGGCCGAUGUCUGAUUAGCUAGUUGGUGGGGUAAAGGCCUACCAAGGGGACGAUCAGUAGCUGGUCUGAGAGGACGAUCAGCCACACUGGGACUGAGACACGGCCCAGACUCCUACGGGAGGCAGCAGUGGGGAAUUUUGGACAAUGGGCGAAAGCCUGAUCCAGCAAUGCCGCGUGUGUGAAGAAGGUCUUCGGGUUGUAAAGCACUUUUGUCCGGAAAGAAAUGGCUCUGGUUAAUACCUGGGGUCGAUGACGGUACCGGAAGAAUAAGGACCGGCUAACUACGUGCCAGCCGCCGCGGUAA
rnacentral:rRNA from 1 species